CGCACCCGAUCUCCCGUCCAAAAGAAAAACGCUGUGACCAGCGAGCCGCUCCCUCUCUCUCCUCGUACGAGUCAUGGCGCGCGCUAGGGUUUCUCACGCCGCCUCCGCCGCCGCCCACCUCCAUCCCCUCCCCAACCCCGACCGGCCUCCACUCCUCUGCGGGCGCCACACAACCGCCGCCGCCCUCUCCACGCACCCGCACCCACUCACCCAACUCUCUCUCCGCCGCCGCCAUCUAGAGCUCGGCCGGUCGAUUCCGGCGGCGCGCAUCACACUCCUCCUGUGCUCGCCUCGCGCCGCUGCGUCCACCCAUCCGGCUGGAUUCGCCGCUCCCCUGUGGCAAGGGCUUUGGUCGCCUCCAACUCCGGCGACUCCGGCGGUUCAUCUCCGACGCCUACCCAGCCCCCACACGCAGCUCUGUCUCCUGGAUGAAUUUAUCCUGCUCGAGGACGACUGGUUCUUCCUCAACCUCCAAGGACGCCCGCCAUCGUCGAGCCUCCCUCCGUGGGAUGCUAUGGAGAUGAAACUCCCCUCGACCAGGGAAUUCAAGGGCAUGUGGGAGAGAGAGGAGGUCCAUGGAGAAGAUGCUCUGCUCCAACCCUCACUCACUCCUACUACAAGAUGUCUUUUUUUGUGUGUGCUUGUAUUGCAGCAGCCAUGUGCGUAUCAAAAAGAGGGUCCAGUUUGCAGCAGUCACAUGAUAUGGACAUGUUUUUUCAUCACAAUUGGAUUUUUGGAUUUACUAGCCUAAUUGGUGGUGGUUGCUGCUGUUGUUGUUUUAGUAGCAGCAGCAGCAGCAGGCCGAGUGACGGCGGUGGUUGUGUGCAGGGAGGGUUGGCGAUGAUUAGCACAAGGGGUAGGCUGCUGCUUCAACCUCGUUAAGUAACGAGCAAUUUCGAGUCGUGGCUCUAGGGGAACAAGUUGAGCAAGUGCAGCCAUUGUCAAGCUUCGUCACUUCACCAGCAACUCAGGAGAGGUGUUUUUUCCGGGUAUUGACGCUUCGGCCAUAGUCGCGUUGAUCCACCACUCACAUAUAUAGAUAAUAGUAUCUGGACGCAGCAGCUGGACGCCAGUGUCGGACACUCUGGCUGCGACGGCCGCCUCAGCAGUUCCACACAUGAGCCGGGUAAUGCAGCAAUAUAGGAUGCUGCAUCUGUUCAUUCCACCAUGACAGUACACUAUAUAAUUUACGAAAGAUGGGCAUGAUAGUCUGUUCUUGAUUCAUUAGAACAUGACCUACCAAGAUGUCGAGGAAUUAACGGCAUCCUGAAUAAAAGAUGGUUCCUUAAUUGUUUGAUUUGUUAAGUCUUACAAAUAAAUAGAUACUGUGAUCCAUGGAAUUCUUCCAUUGUUUGUAUUGAUGUUGAAUGACAAUAUGCUCUUCUUAUAUACUUCCACAUAUAGUAGAAUAUUCCUUUGGGAUAAAUUGACUUGUUCUAUUUGAAAGUGCUGCACCGGCACCAGUAAACAAAUCCAAUCUCAUAUGUCAUCUAUUUAUUCUGAUAAAUGGUGCCAUGUAGAAUAGGAAUUAGAAAAAAAAUGAGUACUGGGAUACAUUGCAAACUAUGGAACAAAAGAAACCUACUUGAAAAGGUCUUGUUCUAUUGAUCUGUUAUAUACCAAAAACUUGUUGUAAUAUGUUUUUUCCGUACUAAAUCUUCUGUACAAACUAUUUAUAGGAGAGGUGUUUUUUCCGGGUAUUGACGCUUCGGCCAUAGUCGCGUUGAUCCACCACUCACAUAUAUAGAUAAUAGUAUCUGGACGCAGCAGCUGGACGCCAGUGUCGGGCACUCUGGCUGCGACGGCCGCCUCAGCAGUUCCACACAUGAGCCGGGCUGGAGGACCCAGACUCGGAGGAGACGAUAGAGUUCAUGGCAAGCGAGCGGACUUGACCGAGUCCAUGCUUGCCUGGUUAGGGAGAGCCUCCAGCGCAAGGUCAUGCGCUGCUUCUCUCCUCUAUUUGGAUUUUAUUAAUUGGUGUCUUUUUACUGACUCCUUCGCUAUUGCUGUGCGCUCCUCAGCUUAGUCCUGCCUCUCUAGAUUACUUCUAGAUCCUACUGAUGGUCUUGAGUUUGCACAAUUCCGGGAUGUCAGCUCGCCGCACAUGUGAUACAUAUUGUUAAUAGUUACAGAAUUCCCUGGGUGUUCUUUGUUAUUUUUGUGCACAGAAGAUUUUUGUGUCUUCGUCCGAGCCAAUUUCAGUUUUUUGUGUCUUCAUCCGAGCCAAUUUCAGUUACAAAUCCCCGAGUUAAACUGCAUGUGGCUAACAACGUUGCAGAUGAAGUUCUCGUCUUUGAUUAGAAGUUUGACAUGUGCUAAGAGUUUUUCUGUGGUUGAUAUCCUGCACCUAGGUAUGUUUAUAGACUUAGAGAUAGAAUAUCCUUACUUUCUUAGGGCCUGUUCGGCAACUGCCCAGCUCCUUGUUCGGCAACUGCCCAGCUCCUGGCUUCUCUGAAUCAGCGGGCGAAGCUGGGCCGAACAGGUCAGCUCCCAGAAGCCAGCUUCCCAGAUCUAAGGCGAGUCGUAGUGCAAAAACUGGGAGCGAGUGUUUCGUGGAUCCCAGAAAUCGCAGAAGCUGGAGUUUGAGUUAUUUACGGUGAGCUGCCACCGCGAAGUGAAAGAAAACGCUUCGUCCAGGGAAGAAUAGAACGCAGCAACUACCUUCGCUCCCUAACAGGCUAGAAUCUAGCUUAAUGGGCCAGCCGGCUACCAGCCCAAGACUAGCGAACUGGGAUCUGGGAAUUCUGCUGCCGAACGGUUUUUCUGAUCUACAAUUUUUGUCGGGAAGCUGGAGGUGAGAUCGAGAAGCCGGAUUUGAGGAUUUCUGGGAGCUGGGCAGUUGCCGAACAGGCCCUUAUUUAUAGUGGAUCUGUUGCUGGUGCCUUGCUACAAAGUACUGGUGUUUUGUGGCAACUGCAAAUGAUAAUAGCAUUCUUUAUGCUAAGCUGUAGAUAAAAUAUUGAAGGGUGCAAGUCUGUUAAUCACUCGAUUAGCCAAUUUUUGUUAUUUAGCUAUCAGUUUAACUCAUACAAUUAAAGUCUGAUUGUUGUUGUAAAUAAUGUUGCUAAGCAUUUCUAGGUACCGUGUUUUUCCAAUUGUUGCCACUUGGCAAAUAAUUAUUGUUUUUAGAAGUAUAACAAGUAGUUUAAAAUUUAUUGUGAAUUGCUCUCUUUAGAUUACUAUAUAAUUUCUGUCCAGCAUACCAAUUCUCUCUUGAGCGGGCUCGAUUAGAUGGGGCGCAAUGGCUAUCCACGGUCUAUCCUUUCAAUUAUUUAAGCAUGGACGUUCAUGUGUGCCUGGUUUUGUUGGGUAUUAUAUGUACUCCUAUGAUUAUUUAUCAAGUACCCGCCAACAAAAUAAAAAAUUGUUGUUGUUCUUGCAUCAUUUGGCUAGGAGUUUUUCCCACUUGAUCUGAAUAUUAGUAACUUAAGGCUAAUGAUAUCUCUUACAGCAAACCAGAUUCAGGAUCAUGUCGAUUCCUUAUGGGCCCCAUGAUUGUUGGUGUUUUCCUAUUUCAAAUGAAAACAUCAAGGUCAUUAUCCUAAUUGCAUAACUUAUUCCGCUAGGAUUGUCGUACUAUUUUUUUUCUUCAGGUCCUCGUGCAUGAAAAGCACACACGCGGGGCAGGAGCAUACCUACAGAGAGGUCUGAAGGCACACACAUUCACAAAAAGUAUGGAACCAACAGCAUGCAAGCUAAUGAAGGCCAGUAUAGUUCAAGCUUCAGCUGCCGGAUGCUUUUGCUGAUUAACAUUAAGUAGGUUGGUCGGAAGUGAGCCCUCCUUAUAGUUGAUUAAGAUGAUGUGCAAUCAGUCUAGAAGAUUAGGAUGGCAAUUUCAACGAUACUGUGGAUUAGUGUCAAGCAGAGGUCCAUGCGACUAAACAAAAAUUUCGAUGAAUUUCUAACUUUAAAUUAUAGGUUCCACUAUAACGUUCGUGGUGAUAGAUUAGUGCAACAUAUUCUUUUAAGUUCAGUUCCCCCUUGAGAUCUAUGGGCCUUGAAAUAUUUGGAUAAAAAUAUGUCUCCUUAGCGUCUUUCCAUUCUGCCGAAACAAUAAUGAUGAAGCAUUUUCACUCA